UGCUGAGUGAGUGCCGCCGCAGCGUCGGGGGUGCUCAACCGCUGCUGCUUUCGCUUCUAAUCCGAUGGCCGCAGGUUCGAAUCCUGCCGGGUGCGCCA
rnacentral:tRNA from 1 species